CUCCAGAGGGAUGCACUUUCUCUUAUGUGAAAAAAAAGAAGGCGCUUCCCUUUAGAGCG
rnacentral:pre_miRNA from 1 species